rnacentral:lncRNA from 1 species
GCACCUAAAGGUUCCAUGACUUUUGCUUCCAACCGAGGGAAAGGAAAAGCAAAAAUAGAGAAGGCACAUCUGCUUCUUAAUCAACUUGGCUUGGGAGUGGAACACCCCUAUUCAUAUUCCAUUUACAGGAGCUAAUCUCAUGGUGGGAACUGCAGUGGCUGAGCAGCAGCAUCUUAGCAGAUACUGUGCUUUAUGAAAGGUGGGUGGGGGUGUAGAUAUUUACUAGACAUCCACCUGUGUCUGCUGCAAUCCUGAAUAGCUGGACAUUUGUCUCAGCCACAAAACCCACUGCCUACCACCAACUGGAAAACACAUUGACCAGGCCUAGUCAUUCAGAGUGGACUGGACCAUUCUUCCAACAGCAGCAAUAGUCUCAUGAACCAAUCGGAGUCAAUUAGGGUUCUCCAUGGGGUUUAACACCUUGAAGGAUGUAAACAGAGGGCUGCCAGCAGUCAUAAUGCCUUUCAUAAGAACAAGAAGGCCUCGUUCGUUAGAAAGGAAGCCUCAGAGACCAUAGGAAAAGACCUAGCUCAAUGUUACUUUAUUUUAUUUUCUCAUCUUCAUCUAUCACACAUUGACCUAGCCCAAUAUUACCUUAUUUUAUUUUCUCAUCUUCAUCUAUCACACUCAUUCUUACUUAUAAUUUCCCCUGUCAGAUUCCUAAAGAAUGGGCAGCAAGAAGAGAAAGGAGCUAAUUAACAAUGAGGAAAGUGUAUGAACAAUGGAGCAAGCAUGUGACAGAAGACAUUGGCAUGGCUGGGUGACAGGGAGGACCAAGGGAGGGAAGGCAAAAUUGCUCAAAAAAAUGUAGCUAAAUUAGGAAAUGUCUUUAAAGCUGGACUUUAAGAUUUUUGGCAAAAGUAGUAAUGUGGACUCCUA